GGGGAAUUUUGGACAAUGGGCGCAAGCCUGAUCCAGCCAUGCCGCGUGAGUGAAGAAGGCCUUCGGGUUGUAAAGCUCUUUCGCAAGGGAAGAAAACGUGUGGGCUAAUAUCCUGCGCGGAUGACGGUACCUUGACCAGAAGCACCGGCUAACUACGUGCCAGCAGCCGCGGUAAUACGUAGGGUGCGAGCGUUAAUCGGAAUUACUGGGCGUAAAGCGUGCGCAGGCGGUUGAUUAAGACAGGCGUGAAAUCCCCGGGCUUAACCUGGGAAGUGCGCGUGUGACUGGUCGGCUAGAGUACGGCAGAGGGGGGUGGAAUUCCACGUGUAGCAGUGAAAUGCGUAGAGAUGUGGAGGAACACCAAUGGCGAAGGCAGACCCCUGGGUCGAUACUGACGCUCAUGCACGAAAGCGUGGGGAGCAAACA
rnacentral:rRNA from 1 species